rnacentral:lncRNA from 1 species
AUCAGGCUCAGGCCGGGUCCUCAUCGUAGGGGCGACCGGUUUCAUUGGCCGUUUCAUCACGGAAGCGAGCAUCGCUGAGGGCCGGCCGACAUACAUCCUCGUCAGGCCCCGCUCGAGCAGCUCCUCCAAGGCGAACACCGCCGAGACUCUGGAAAAGAAAGGCGCGAUAGUCAUACAUGUAAGACUUUGGCAUCUGAUCAGAAAGAAGAAAAUCGACAGCGUUUGGAGAACCCUCUAAUUCUGGUCUUCUGUCUUUGUUGAGAAUUUGCUAGGGUUUGAUGAAUGACAGGAGUCUCAUGGAGGCAAUACUCAAGGAGCAUGAGAUAGAGAUCGUGAUCUCGGCUGCUGGUGGGGCGGACAUUUUGGAUCAACUCACUUUGGUGGAGGCCAUCAAAUCUGUCGGUACCGUUAAGGUAUAUGCAUAAAAAGAUCCUUCAUUUAAGUGCCCAAUUAGCAUUAUGCACGAACUGUACACUGGCGUACCUUUAUAUACGUCAAUGUCAUUGGAAAAAAUUAUCUUUGUCCUCGAAUAUCUAUGUAAUAUUACCUGUUUAGCUAAGUAUCACAUCGCACGGACCCAAGUAAGCAAGUUUUGCAAUUUCUAAUGCAUCAAUUUCUUAUAGGUUAAUGCAUGAUCCAUAUUAUAAAGAUUAAAUUAUCCAUACUCAGCACUUUUAACGAGAGAUCGAGAUAUUUGAUAUCAUUUAGUACAUAUGAGUCGGGAAGGUGCGGGAUUUGGUGGGUUCUCUAAAAUCUCUGCUUUACGAUUUCAGAGAUUCUUGCCGUCAGAGUUUGGGCACGACGUGGACAGGGCCGAACCGGUGGAGCCGGGUCUCACCAUGUACAAGGAGAAGCGCAAGGUCAGACGGUUGAUAGAAGAGCAUGAUCUGCCCUACACCUACAUCUGUUGCAACUCCAUCGCCUCUUGGCCCUACUACGACAAUAGACACCCCGCUGAGGUCCUCCCACCAUUGGACCAGUUCCAAAUCUACGGAGACGGGAACGUCAAAGGUAUGCGCCAAACCAAAGCAGGUCCGCCUUUCUCACCUAACACAGCACUCGGCACUGUCCUUUUAUUGGGACGGGCCACCACGGUGAGGCUGCCUGUGUCUAUCCCCGGCAUUUGCCUCAAUGACUCAACAGUGCGUCGGGGACGGGGCAGCUCCCAUGGGGCAACGGUGCCCCAUCCCACCAUGAGUAAAAUUACAUACAUUUUUUCGUAAAUUUUAAAUUUAUUCUUAUGUCAUAAAGGUCACAACCAAUCACACCGCAAAUACAAAAGAGAGAAAUAUAAUGAAAUUUGAAAUUAAGUUAUGGUACAAAUAUCUCAGUCUAUUACAUCUAUGAAAGUGGAUGACUUCACCAUAACAAUUUUAACUUUAAUAUACUAUCUAUUAAUUAUUAUAAACAUGGGACGGCUGGGGCCAAUGUCCCUGCCACGUGUCAAUUUAUAGUCGUUGAUGAAUUACGACCUAGGUGGCAGGCUUUUCUAGGACACCGAUAAUGCACGAAACGCCAAAGGAAAGAGACAUGGAUGGAUACUCUUCACCUUUGAACAAUUAUUAAGCACGUCAAAUGCGCUGGUAUACUAAACGACCAUGGUUUAUAUUAAGGAAUUGUUAAGAGUGUCGGUGAGAGACCGAUUAAGUAUACUUUUUUUUGAAAUGACUUCAUUUCUAAAGUAUCUAAUAAUCGGUGCAUGGAAAACUGCACCUAUGCAUCACGACAAGGAUUACAGGUGGCACGGUCUUGUUGGCCUUUGUUCCGUCGAUCGACGUCGGACAAUGAACCAGACAAGGUGAUGAUUGGCUGAAGGGUUUGGUAUUGGUCAAUGAUAUUAUUUUAUUUUUUGCUUUCUAUAAGGAAAGACCGUGCCCCCCGCCCCUCCAAUGAAUCCUUCUCGAUUAGCAGCCUAGAAAUGACGCGAAAUUUUACCUUAUGAUGCUCGUGCUUCUGACGUCCCCACGUGGAUGUCUCAAGCGCCGAGCAGGACGUACGAGCUUGACAGACAUCCAGGACGUCAUGUUAGACGCGGUAGUAAAACACGACGCCAUCAGAAUUUUGACUUGCAGAUAGACAUGUGGUGGCUUCCCAGUGAAGAGAGCUAAAAAACCCAUUCAUCUAUUCAUAAUGAAAACAGGGAUUAGUGUAGGAGAAAAGUGAGAAGAACAGUAAACAAAAGCCUGUACACUAGUCAUCCCGAAACUUGAGUCCGGCGUCUUAGCUUCCGUGGCCGAAGUUGUUUGCCGCGAAAUUGUAUCGAACAGGCUCCUAGAGAUCUUUGAGGCGACCCUUUUCUUUGACGUGCCGAUACCUGGUUAGCAUAAUAUCCAAGGGUGAGAAGAAGAAAAGCUAAUCAUCCGUCUUCAACUGCAGUUCACCAACUUGCGAAAGCGCCGAUAUAGACGGUAUUCUUUUGCUUUCCAACUACUGCCCGCAGCUUAAGAUAAGUCCGCUGGCCCAUUGACAUGAUCACCAGAUAAGACCUAGCAACAUGCUAUAAUAACCCUCAAGUAUCGUAAGCACCAUGACAUGAUUAAACGAACGAAAGCGAACGUUCGGUGGUUCACAUGUCACAUUUCUUGCACACCAUCAACUUGACUAGGGAGGGUGUUGUCUGAUGUUAUGUUUUGGAUGCAUUUUGC